GACGAACGCUGGCGGCACGCUUAACACAUGCAAGUCGAACGCCCCCGAGACUUCGGUCUCAAUGGGGGAGUGGCGAACGGGUGAGUAACACGUGAGAAACCUGCCUUGAAGAUCGGGACAACCACUGGAAACGGUGGCUAAUACCGAAUACCUUCCUACCGUCGCAUGGCGGUUUGAAGAAAUGCUCCGGCGCUUCAAGAGGGUCUCGCGGCCUAUCAGCUUGUUGGUGAGGUAACGGCUCACCAAGGCAUCGACGGGUAGCUGGUCUGAGAGGACGAUCAGCCACACUGGGACUGAGACACGGCCCAGACUCCUACGGGAGGCAGCAGUGGGGAAUCUUGCGCAAUGGGCGAAAGCCUGACGCAGCGAUGCCGCGUGGGGGAUGAAGGCUCUCGGGUCGUAAACCCCUUUCAGCAGGGACGAAAAUGACGGUACCUGCAGAAGAAGCCCCGGCCAACUACG
rnacentral:rRNA from 1 species